UUACAGUGUAAAAUAUGUCACUUCCUGUUGCCAGUAGGUGGUGCUAUGACUAUAACUGAAUAUGGGCAUAUCAAUCUGUUCAGGUCAGGAGUCUUAUCAAACAUGUGAAGUUUGUGGCAGAUUGGACAUUGUAUGUCUGAGUUAUAGCAACUUCAUUUUUCAUGGCGAAUCAUCGAAAUUCGUCAGGCCGCCACGGACACGCCCUUCAACGAAAACUCAAGAUCUUCGCAAUUUAACAUCGCAAAGGCCUUUAGAUCAGGCAUACCAAAUUUGGUGUUGAUCUGAAUAAAUCUCUAGGAGGAGUUCGUUAAAAUACAAGGCAUGCAAAUGACAAAAAUGAUGCAAAAUUUGCUCAUAAAAUUAAAAAUAACCGACUUCCUGUUGGGUUUCGGAUAUUGCUCCAAGAGUCUUUUUUGUAGGUACUGAUGCUUUACAUAUGUGUGCCAAUUUUCGCGCAUGUACGUGAAACACAGCGGGAGGGCUGUUGAUUUUUUUACGGUAGGUGGCGCUGUCGAGCCAUUUUGCCACACCCUCUUCUGAAACCUAUAUUAGACGUAAAUUUUCACCAGGUCUGACGCGUGUGCAAAGUUUCAGGACUUUUCGAGCAUGUUUAGGCCCUCAAAAAUGCGAUUCAUUUUGGAGAAGAAG
ensembl:lncRNA